rnacentral:lncRNA from 1 species
GUUCUUUGGCUCUUGUGUGAGUGGAUGGUGACACCAGGCCAGCUGGGGAUUCUUCCCAGGCUGGGCUCACAGGCUGGGGCUGGGCACACGGAGCAGCUGCGGGAAAAGGAUCUGGACACCAGCCCCCCAGCGUGUCACCGGCAGGAAGGUGAGGUGGGAACAGAGUGACGUCCAUGCAUGUUCAGAGACAAGGUUUCCCUACGUUGCCCAGACUGGUCUUGAACUCCUAGCCUCAAGCAGUCCUUCUGCCUCAGCCUCCCAAUGUGCUGGGAUUACAGGCAUGAGCCACUGCACUUGACCAAGGGACUAAGCCAGUGGAUCACAAACAUCCUGGAGAGCAGUGACUCUGUGAUUCCAUCACAAGAAUAUGAAGGACUGAGAAGAUCUCCAGCUCUGCCCAUUGCACCUUCCCAUUGAGAAGCAGCAUGGCACCCUGGUGGCAGGGGCUGAUACUCAGCCGGGCCAGGGUGCUCUCCUGUUAACCAUAACCAAGCUCACAGGACAUGGGAUGAGCCCACUGUGUGACACAGGGAGCGGGACACAGUCUGUUAAGUCUUGCACAGCCAUGCUCUGCCACGCAGGCAGGCCUUUCCUUGGCCUCCCUCUCCCUGUUCGUGCUCAUGUGAACAUCCACCUACGUGGAUAGACUGGGCUUUGGUUCAUUAUUGCUCUGUGAAUUCCUCGAACUUCCGCAUCUGCCCAACCUCCCCCACCCCAUUGUUUUCAUUGUGUUUCACCAAAUGGAAAUUCUAGAGUAAGCAUGUGAGUCCUCUCCCAAACUUGUUCACUGUUGAGAGUGCUAAAAUGCUAACCCCAGAUGCUAACUGAGGGGUAGGGUUACCUUAUCUUUAGAGCACUGCGAAUUGUAUGUUAAGUGGAACUUAAUGAAAAAAUAGUUAAUUGACCAACAUGAAUAUCCCCUGAACAGAAUCUCCCCUGAACAGAAUCCUACAAUGAAACUAAGGGAGAUAAAUAAAGCUGUUUACCUGAAAGCUCUCUCUAAUCAAGAUCCUUUGAAAUUUAUAAAACAUGGUCAAUAUUUGCACUGGACUUUGUAAAAAUAAAGCUUGAUAAGAGAAGAGUUUGAAGUGAAAUGCUGCCACUUUCUAUGCAAUAUUUGAUUUAAAUUUAAUUCCUAGAAACCUCAGAUGAAUGUGGUUCAUGUAUCAAAGCACUCAGCAUUAUUUAUCGCGGCCUUAAAUACACAGUGAGCUUACAUGUGAAUGAAUACAUAUAUUAUGUAUCUCUCUCUAUAUAUAUACUAUAUAGAUAAUAUAGUAUAUAUAUAUAUAUAGUGUAUAUAUACACUAUAUAUAUCGUGUAUACAUAUACUAUCUAUAUAGUAUAUAUGUAUAUGGUAUAUAUAUCUAUCUAUAGAUAGAUAGAUAGAUAUACUUAAAAAAACCCCAUUCCCUUAAGAGCAGUUAAGGGACACCAUAUAUCAAAUUUCUUGGCACGUUGUGAAUAUUAAUAUCCCCAAAGUGUCAAUGUCAAAUGAUUUGACUUGAAAUCACUAAGCUUGGUAAUCUCACUAUUUUUAAACAAGGCCUAACAUCUUUUAAUCUUGAAUACCAGCAAGUUCUCAGACUUCAGUUGUUUAUUUUCUCUUUUCUUUCCUUUAAAAAAUUCUGACAAGCUCUUUUCCUUGACACAAAGAAAGCGUAUAAAUUUUAUUUUGGUUUGAACAACAGAAAUUUGCCUCUCAGAAUUCUGGAGAUUGGAAAGUCUAAGGACUAAGCUGCUGGCCAAUUUAGUUCUUAGUGAGGACUCUCUUCCUGGCUUGUAGAUGGCUGCCUUCUCACUGCAUCCUCAGAGAGAGAGAGAGAGAGGGCUCUUGUGUCUCUUCCUUUCUCAUAAAGCGUCAGCUCUCUUGUAUUAGGGUCCCACCCAUAAUUACCCCCUUAUAUGCCCCAUCUACAAAUAGAGUCACAUUGUGGGUUAGAGCUUGGCAGUGAAUAAUUAUGGAGGUUAUUGUUGGCUUUAGAAUUUCGUGGUAGAAACAAUAAAUUGCCUUUGUGUUUACGUUUUAUUUUAUUUUUUUAACAUUAACAUGUAUUUGCAACAAUGAAAACAGCAGGUGAAUACAUUCUGGGUAGGGGAAAAAGUUAGAGGAGUGCUAUCCAGAAGUUAUAUUUCCUAGGAAUAUGGGGAAUAAAACAUUCAAUAUUGGUGGUUCUAAUAGAUGAAUUAAAUUUAAUUUGAUGUGGAGUGGCCAUGUCCCCUGUCUCGGGAUGCCGUGUGAAGCCUGGCUCUUGUGACAGCUGUUUAGAUUUGCUGAAAGAUGUUUUAAGUGUCCUAGGAAAGAGGUUUCCAUUCAUUCUAGAACUGAUAGUUUUCUCUUAAAGUGUUAAUUUACAUUUUAAUGUUGAUGUGGUAUCCAUCUCAGGUUAAUGUUUGGCACUAGGUAAUUGAAUUUUUAAAAAUCUCAUUUUAUUUUCUGUCUGCUUUUGGGAGAGAGAAGUGGUUAGGUUUUUAUUACAGGAAGGAUUUUUCUCUUUCUCUAUUAUAAUACCUGAAAGCAAAUAUAUAUAAGCUAUACAUGAAGUCAUUACAAUUCUUUUUUCUCAUUUUAUUUUCACUUUUGGGAAAGAUUGCUGCCAAUAUUUGUGAGAUCUCUUUUCAGUUCUAUCUUUUACUUCUGCAUGUCCGUUAUCUUAGCCAUGCAAUGUUUAGUUUGAGGCAGUUUCACCCAAGGGACAUACCUUAGAAUAGACUCUCAUGGCCAGUAAUGAAUGACUGAUGGAGGGAACAGCAGUUUAUAGGUUUUUUGUUGUUUUUAAGGAGAAAAAUUAACACCCUUCAUCAAACCUCCUCUUUCUUCCUUCUCUCCUCCCCUCCAUCUCACCCUGCCUCCCCUUGGGAUCUUACUCCUGUGAUUAGUUUGGGUUCCACACAAAGAAAGAUUUAUUACUUUAAUGUCUUUGUGAUUUAGUUUUAUGUGAUCUUCCUAGGGACACCAGGGAGUACACGCUCCCCUUUCUGAAUAUGUUGUAAGCUCCUUUGAGGCAAAAAUGAAUGUUCCUGUGUUACAAGAACAGAGCAGCCCUUAUCAUCUUCUCGAAUCUUAUCUUUCUGAGUUAAACAUUUGGCAUCAGUGACGAAGUAAGACCAGACAUUGAGGAUGAGACGUCAAAUCCAAGUUUGUAGAAAACACACAGUUGAUGCAUCUCACAUCUCUCAAAUUCUUCUCUGUGGACUCUAUGCUUACUGUUCCUGAAGAUGUUCACCAAAUGGGACCAAACCUCCAAAAAAGGAGAAUUUUA